AUGAUCUCUCAAAAGAAUUUUAAUGCUUUGCUUGAAGAAAAAUUGCUCAAAGUUGAUGAUUUGGCUAGGAACGUUGAUAGACUUUCGCUUGAUGUUGAUUCUCUUAAACUUAGAUCUACUCCUCCUAAGCAUGAUAUCAAUGAGUCUCUCAAAGCAAUGAGAAUUUCCAUUGAUGAGUGCAAAGAAAGAACCGCUAGAUUGCGUGCUAAGAAAGAUUGCUUUGUAAAGGCGUGUUCUUCUAGUUUCCAUGAAAAUAAUGAUGAAGAUCUUAAAGUUAUUGAUGUGUCCCCUAUUAGAUCUUUGUUCUGCAAUAUGAAUCUUAAUAAUAAUGGGACUGGAGAUGAGUCAACUUUAGUUAGAAGGCAUCCCAAUAAUUCAGAGUUUUUAGAUCUUGAUGCUAAAUUUGGUAAAAGUGGGACCGGAGAGGUCAUGACUUUAAAUAGCAUUGAACCCACUAUCUCAGAUUUCAAGGAAUUUGAUUAG
rnacentral:rRNA from 1 species